rnacentral:rRNA from 1 species
UGGGGAAUAUUGGACAAUGGGCGAAAGCCUGAUCCAGCCAUGCCGCGUGUGUGAAGAAGGUCUUCGGAUUAUAAAGCACUUUAAGUUGGGAGGAAGGGCAGUAAGCGAAUACCUUGCUGUUUUGACGUUACCGACAGAAUAAGCACCGGCUAACUCUGUGCCAGCAGCCGCUGUAAUACAGAGGGUGCAAGCGUUAAUCGGAAUUACUGGGCGUAAAGCGCGCGUAGGUGGUUCGUUAAGCUGAAUGUGAAAGCCCCGGGCUCAACCUGGGACGUGCAUCCAAUACUGGCUUGCUAGAGUAGGUCUGAGGGUUGUGGAAUUUCCUGUGUAGCGGUGAAAUGCGUAGAUAUAGGAAGGUACACCAGUGGCGAAUGCGACCACCUGGGCUCAUACUGACACUGAGGUGCGAAAGCGUGGGGAGCAAACAGG